GAACUGAACGACCGGGCUUCACAACAAAAACAUGGCCACAUGAGUUGGAUUAUUCCGCAGCCCAACAUCAAUUUCAAUCGGUGAUAUUGUUUCUCAUGCAGUCGAAUAUCUGAGAGCUCAUUGCAACAAUGGAUUCCAAAAAUCCAAUCCUGAGAAACGCUUUACAGUGAUUAUGUCCCUCAUGUAAUAUUAUCGUGAACAUUAAUCAACAUGUCUGCAAGUGUGGCUAUAGGCUUUUUGAUGUCAAACGUAAAGCUCAGCCGGAAAGCCAGGCUCAGGCAAAUAUCAAGAGAUCAGAAAAAAAAAAACAUAUACCUGUUGUACAUGGUAAGCUCACUUAUAUUUUUAUUCACAAUGUUUAAUAUGGAAAUAAAUAACAUAUAAUUGAUUAAUUUAAUUUUAUUUAAAGGAAAUAUUUUACUCCCUUUCAUAUUGUUGUAAAGAUUACCAACAUAUAUUGUCAAAUGAGCAAUUUAUGUCAUCUGCAUUUAAAAUACAGCUUUCACACACUUCACGUAUUUGUGUUGGAUAAUAUCAUUUUCCAGCUUUACAUAGAAUACUUUGUGUUCUUUAUCUAUGUUCAGAUGAGUUGCAUAAAAGUGUGCAAGAUUUACAACA